UGUUGAUUUUCAAUAAGUCUUAGAAGACUGGGGAAGUUCCAGAAAACUGGAAGAAAGGAUAAUCAGCUGAACAAGAGCUAUCGGUGUGAUACUGUGGCCAAAAAGGGCUCAUAAGGGGCAAGGCUGGGCAGAAAGGCAAACCUACCCUGAGGACCCUUGAACAAGGAUGCCAAAGAAGCCUCACUGUGAGGAAGAAGACUAUCUGCUGAUCAUAGUUGGAGCUGAAGGUUUAGCUGUCUUUUCUUUUCUUUUGCUAUCUUACAUUGGACUUAAAGACUUUGCGGGAGACAGAUGGUAAGAAUUGAUCCACAGAGGCAGCUCUGAAGCACUCUAGAGUGCCUAAUAUUAUUGACCCUUGGAGGGCCCUAGUUCAGAGCACGGUGGAGUGGGAGCCCAGGCUCCCCUACUAACUGUCCUUGUUGCAAGAGGGGAAUAAAUCUCAUUUUCACUCUACCUCCCCCUCUAAUAAGGAGAGGAUAAGGACACUGAAAAUGCUGAGGUGAGGAUAAGCCACGUAUAAGUGUUAGGAACUAGAAUGAAGGUCCUUCCUGCUGGGAGGCGAGAAACUGAAAACCAGGUAUGCUAACCCUAGGCCACCUAGCCCUCCAACUACUCUACUACAGAUGCGUAAAUGGGGGAAUCUCAAGUAGGAGUAGAGAGGUCAUUUUACCACUGUAUUUGGCAUUGUUGCAGCUACUGCUGGAAUACUCUGUCCAGUUCUGGUGUCCACAAGUCAAGAAGGAUGUUGA